rnacentral:rRNA from 1 species
UACGUAGGGGGCAAGCGUUGUCCGGAAUCAUUGGGCGUAAAGAGCGUGUAGGCGGCCCGGUAAGUCCGCUGUGAAAGUCCAGGGCUCAACCCUGGGAUGCCGGUGGAUACUGUCGGGCUCGAGUCCGGAAGAGGAGUGUGGAAUUCCUGGUGUAGCGGUGAAAUGCGCAGAUAUCAGGAGGAACACCAAUGGCGAAGGCAGCACUCUGGGACGUGACUGAUGCUGAGACGCGAAAGCGUGGGGAGCAAACAGG